GACGAAGGGGGCUAGCGUUGUUCGGAAUUACUGGGCGUAAAGCGCGUGUAGGCGGUUGCCCAAGUCAGGUGUGAAAGCCUUGAGCUCAACUCAAGAAAUGCACUUGGUACUGGGUGGCUAGAGGACCGGAGAGGAUAGUGGAAUUCCCAGUGUAGUGGUGAAAUACGUAGAGAUUGGGAAGAACACCAGUGGCGAAGGCGGCUAUCUGGACGGUUACUGACGCUAAGACUCGAAAGCGUGGGGAGCAAACAGG
rnacentral:rRNA from 1 species